UUCAACUCACCUGCCAACCUGGCCCGCC
rnacentral:piRNA from 1 species